GACGAACGCUGGCGGCGUGCCUAAUACAUGCAAGUAGAACGCUGAAGAGAGGAGCUUGCUCUUCUUGGAUGAGUUGCGAACGGGUGAGUAACGCGUAGGUAACCUGCCUUGUAGCGGGGGAUAACUAUUGGAAACGAUAGCUAAUACCGCAUAACAAUGGAUGACACAUGUCAUUUAUUUGAAAGGGGCAAUUGCUCCACUACAAGAUGGACCUGCGUUGUAUUAGCUAGUAGGUGAGGUAACGGCUCACCUAGGCGACGAUACAUAGCCGACCUGAGAGGGUGAUCGGCCACACUGGGACUGAGACACGGCCCAGACUCCUACGGGAGGCAGCAGUAGGGAAUCUUCGGCAAUGGGGGCAACCCUGACCGAGCAACGCCGCGUGAGUGAAGAAGGUUUUCGGAUCGUAAAGCUCUGUUGUAAGUCAAGAACGAGUGUGAGAGUGGAAAGUUUACACUGUGACGGUAGCUUACCAGAAAGAGACGGCUAACUACGUG
rnacentral:rRNA from 1 species